UCUAGGGUUGAAAUACUGUCAUGCGGUUUGUGGAGGUCCGCAUUGAAUACUAGGGAGACCAUCAGCUACUACUGUGGGUAGAAGAUGGCUUCAAUUAAAAAAUCGAUCAUUGCGGCCCUCAUCUCUAUCAAAACUUUUGUUUAAUCUAUUAAAGGGAAGUGAAAACCCCAAUGUACUUUUAUUUCAUUUUGCUUCGAGUAAGAAUAUUUAGGGCUUCGUUAAUUUUGCAUUUGAUUAGCAUUUUAUGUUGAAAUAGAUCGAUAUUCACUUAUAACUGCGGAUUUUGUUGAUCUAAUUCAGUCACUUUUCAUGGCAGGUUGGGUUUUCUUAGCAUUGGUCAAGUACUUCCGAUUGUCUUAAAGGAUUCUUAAAAUCAACAAUCUCAGGAAAGUGCUAGCAUCAGUCUUAGUUCAACAGUGAUGGUACUGAUGUUAUGAAGUUGGAUGAAGUUCAACAGUGGUGGCCCUACCGCAGACAUGCAAUUUUUUGAGUGGUGACAAUGAUAUGCAAGCACUGUAUAUUAAGUUUACAUUUUUAGCUGCUGAGUGUGGAUUCUUAAUCCAUGUUAUAUAUGGAACUACUGUGCAAUAUUGCAGUGUGUAUACUAAGUUCAUCUGUUCAUGUGUAUACUUUGCAUCUAAAGUUCAACC